rnacentral:rRNA from 1 species
UACGAAGGGGGCUAGCGUUGCUCGGAAUCACUGGGCGUAAAGCGCACGUAGGCGGAUUCUUAAGUCAGGGGUGAAAUCCUGGAGCUCAACUCCAGAACUGCCUUUGAUACUGGCGAGCUUGAGUCCGGGAGAGGUGAGUGGAACUGCGAGUGUAGAGGUGAAAUUCGUAGAUAUUCGCAAGAACACCAGUGGCGAAGGCGGCUCACUGUCCCGGUACUGACGCUGAGGUGCGAAAGCGUGGGGAGCAAACAGG